rnacentral:lncRNA from 1 species
UGAGUAUGCUACAAAACAUGAGUUCAACUGGAUUUGAAUUCAAAUGUUUAAUCUAGACAGGCCAAACGACAUACCACUAAGCCAUCAGUGGACGACUUGUAGUUCUGGUAAAAUUAAAAAACCAGUCCUGGUCAUCUCAUCACGUGAAUCUCAUUUCGGGCAAAAUGAAAAAAAAAAAGUUUUAGACCGACUGAGAAAUGUUCAAAACGCAUAUUGAUGCAGAAAGAUUUGGCACAAGGGAAUUUUAAUGCGGAUUUUGAUAUAAAAAAUCCUUAGCCGUGCUUAGCC